AAAAAAAAAUAUGUGAUAUGUAAAAUUAAAAUACUAAAAUACUACAGCCUAAAUACUACAGCAGGACAUUAUCAAUUAAUAUGUAUUAAAAGGACAGAGGUGAAAAACAGAAAAACCAGAACAAAUGAAUACAAAUAAUCAAGUUCAAGGGACAAUCAUGGCCCAAGAAUAGAAAUUACACAAAAACCGAGGCCUAAUAUUAAAUUUAUGUUUUGACUGCGAAUGUAAUGUCAAUAACGCUGGAAUUGCUCUAAUGUGAUGCUGGUCUUUGAAUGGUCUUUGCUUUUUUUGUCUGAAGUUGUGAUGCUAGUUUUUGAAACACUGCAAAAAAAUGCACAAUUUCAACUGUUUUUGUGAACCUUCAUAAAAUAUCGUGUUUGACAUUUUCAUUCAUUUAGAGUUUUUUUUAUUUAUUUUUAUUAUUAUUAUUUUUAAAAUAAAGAAUCGACUAAACUGCCCAAGUUUCUCUUGUGGAAAAUUAAUUGUCCACCCCUAGUCUAAGGCUUUCUAAUGAAAUAAGGUGGUUGAGUGUUCAUUAAAAAAAAAAAAGUGUGAGUCACGUGCAGAGUGUCAUAGAACUACAUUUAAAUAAAUUAAAUGUAUGAUUUAAUAAUAAUUUAAUUAGAUUGUUAUUUAUUUAUGAUUAUCUAUGUAAAUUCUGCGUGACUGUGACGUGUUUUAAAUGCGUGCGUGCUGAACGUUCGAGCCGCGUUGGUUCAAACCGGUUCAAACACUGGAGCGGAGGGAGUUGCCAUGGUAACGGGCGUCAACACAACGACUGACAAGCAGGAAGCUCCGUUUCUCGCUGCUGUUUUUACUGUUUUCGAAGAAGAAAAAAAAUCACAGCAACAUGGGAGGCUCCAAGAUUUCACAAUUUCUGAAGGGAGCCGAGACGGAGAAGCAAGGAACACAAGUGAACAGGUUUUCUGGAUUCCCAGUUGAAGACAUUAGUACAUCAGAUGUUGGCCUGGACAGCUGUAUCUACAGUACAACCACACUGACCUCUCUGCUUUUGCAUAGAUGGCUGACUACUACCAUGUUCUAUAGUGUUAUUGGUAUUAUGUUCUAAGGUAUUAUUAUAGUAAAACUGAGCACCUGUGACAGUGGAAUUUGUAGUUGUAAAGAAUAGACACAUGCGUAUUACAGGUAGUAAAUUUAAAGUCAGUUUUUUUUAGGAGUUCCAAAUGUUUUUUUUUACUCUUUCUCUCUAACAAACACAACACAACAGUUACAUCAUUUAAAAUUCUUAGGUGCACAAAUCAUAUUCUACAAAUAACAAAUUAAGAAACUCAUGUGAAUGUGGGGCAAAACACAUUCACACACCCAAAUAAAAAAUGUGAAGUCAUGAACAAAUUUUGUACAUUUGCAUAUAUACAGUCAUAGUCAGAAUUAUUGACACCCUUGGUAAAUAUGAACAAAGAAGCCUGUGAAAAUAAAUCUGCAUUGUCAAUCCUUUUUGAUAAAAGAUAAAAAAAAGGGGUGGGGGGAAGCUCAUUCAUUUCUAGCGAUUAUCGCCGAUUUGGUUGCACAGAUACUAUUUAAACUAAACUGAGCUAGACAAUGACAUCUCUGAAUUCAACAAUGAAAUGCCUUUAACUGAAAACUGAGUGUUUAAUCUUAUCAUUAUACAUUACUGACACUCUGUCCUCCAAUUUGAUACUGUUAAGUGCUUUGACACAAUCUGUAUUGUUAAAAGCGCUAUAUCAAUAAAGGUGACUUGACUUGACUUGACUCAUUAGGAGUAUUUUUUUUUUUUCUCUAAUACACAUUGGCCACAGUUAAUGGCACCCUUUUAUUCAGUAUUUUUUGCAAUCUCCUUUUGCCACAGUAACAGCUCUGAGUCUCUCCUGUAAUGCCUGGUGAGUUUGGAGCUCACCUGACAAGACAUCUUUGGAGAGUCGUUGGCCACUCAAACUAUCCUCCUCACCUUGCAUAUAGACAAUAUAGACACACAUCCUCUUCCAGGCAGGUUUGUGACAUUUUAAACAGUACAGAUUUAUUUUUACAGGCUUCUUUGAUCAUAUUUACUAAGGGUGCCAAUAAUUCUGACCACGACUGUAAGAAUGAGAACUUAUAUGUGAGAUUUCACAUGACAUAUCAGAAUGUGAGAUCCCACUUGCACGCUUGAUUAGAAUUUGAAAUUCGAUCAAACUGAAUAGAAUAGAAUUGAACUGAAUAGAACAGGUAAGUGAUAGCAUUAAUUGGUCAGGUGUUGAUGAAAAAGAUGUGUCUUUAGACGUUUUUUGAAAAUGGCUAAAGACUCAAAGCUAAAGCUGCUUGAAUUGAGAUACGGAGGUCAUUCCAACAUGAACUUAUCUACAAAUACCAUAGUUAAAUUCUGGAAAAAUUAAAUAUAUCCCCGCAUUUGUGAUUUGUAGAAUAGGAUUUAUGCACCUGCAGUGAUGAUUUUGAGAUGGUUUUGUUGGUUUGUGAGAGAGAAAGAAACAAAAUAUAAUUUUGCAACUCCUAAAACAUUUUCUUGAUGACUUUACUGAAAUAUUCUCUACAAAUACACAUUCCAUGCUCAUAGGUGCUCAGUUUUGCUACAAUAAUUCUAGACACAAUAGAUGUACUGUAUGCAAAUAUAAAAAAGUGACAAACAACUUAAUAUUCAGGGAAAAUAAAAGAAUUCUUGAUAAUUUUUAAAAGGAGAGAAUCACUUUCGUCGUAGCAAGGUAAUUGCGACUUAGUGGCAACGACUUAAAUAAGUUAACCAUAAUACGGAACUGCAACGUAAUUUGACGACCAAACUAUUACGUUGUGACAACCGGAAAAGUGAAAUUCCUGGAUACGUUGCUACAACGUAACUUUGUGACGUUGUCAGUUAGUAAUAAGGACGUUCUGACAACGUUGAGGAUCACUACGUGGCACAUUUUCAGUAGAUUCUUAUGGCUUCGUUUCUCUCUUUUUUUUUAAGAAUAGCCUUGUAACACUUAACUCUUAUUUUAAAUUAUAUAUAUAUAUAUAUAUAAUAUAAUAAUGUGUACUGUUUUCAAAAACAAAAUAAAUUAUCUGGAUUUGCCUAAUUGAGUAUGCGUCCAUCAUUCAUAAAAUAUUUCGUCUUUAUUGGGCAAAUGAGGACACAAACUGUCCGCCCUGAAAAUGACCAACUUUGUACCAGCACACGACGUUGUCACAACAUUGUGAUUACUAACUGGCGACGUCACGAAUUUACGUUGUAGCAACGUAUCCGGGAAUUUCACUUUUCCGGUUGUCGCAACGUAACUAGUUACGUUGUCACAACGAAAGUUUGGUCGUCAAAUUACGUUGCAGUUACGUAACAAUCACGUAUUAUGGUUAGCUGGGACGGCGUUAUUUUUUUCAGUAACGAGUAAUCAAACGAAUUACUGUUUCCCGUUACAACGCCGUUACCGUUACUGACAAUAAAAUGUGGCGUUACUAUAUUAUAUUAUUAGAAUAAUUUUUCAGUUCAUCUGAAUGGAUGCGCAGUGUAGCUGUAUUUGACGUACCAUAAACUCUAGUGUGAAGGCGCACGCCUCGCCGUCGCUUUCUCUCACAUACACGCACGCAAAGAAAGAGACAGAGCAAGAGAGUCUUUCAUAACAUGCAGAAUUGACGCGCUACAUGUAAACGAUAUUCUUUGUUGUAUUUUCUUGUCAAAAUAACGGAGUUCCUUUGGAAUUCUUCAGCUUUUAAGAACUGCCGGUUUCUCUGGCAGUGGACGACAAUCUCAUUGGCUGGCGCUGACAUAUUAUCGUCCCUGUUUUGAUUUCAGCAAAUCAAUUCGAGCGAACGCAGACAACGUGAUUAAUAUUCAUGAACCCAGCUGCUCAUUAAUCCUUAGUGGGUUUUAUAUUGAUGACAAAUAUGCAUUCAUACUUGGUUAUUCUAAUUAAUAAAUUUCUAUCAUCAUAUAAUAUUGAAUUAUCAUAUUAUUAUAUUAUAAUGCUUGACUGACUGAUACUAAGUGUUAGCAGAUAAAUAGUGUAGAUUAAUGUACAAUGUUUUAUAAUAAUAAUUUAUUCUUUUUAGUGUCCAUUUCAUUAAUUUAACAUAUUUAAUAUUGGGGACAUCCAAAGUUAUUUGACAUUUGAACAUUUUUUUUAAAGUAACGCAAUUGUUACUUUCCCUGGUAAUUAGUUACUUUUAUAAUUAUGUAACUCAGUCACUAUUUGUGAGAAGUAACUAGUAACUAUAAUUAAUUACUUUUUUAAAGUAACGUGCCCAACACUGCAUACAACUAACACAUUUUCAAGAUGUACAGUGAAUUCAAAACCAACAAAUGUGUCUCAGUUCAUUCAUAUCAAAACAUACACAAAUGUGCAAAUACAGUACACAAACAAAACAAACAUAACAUACAAACAUAUAUCAAUAAAAAUUAAUCAUAAACACAAGUUAUACAGUUUUUUUUUUUUUUUCAACUGCAUAUACACAAAAUCUUUCCUUGUCACACAGUUGCUGAAAGUUGACACUCACACAGCAGAAGCACACACAAAAUCUGCAAAACCAUACACUAAUUCUCAGCAUUUGACUCUCUAUGUAACACACAACAAUUUAACAGGAAUUAAUAUUAUGGCAAAGGUGUUUGCUUUUGAGAUUUGUUUGUGAUAUUUUUAAUGCAGUGCUUCAUUUUGCAACAGAUGUGAGGCAUUUUGCAUUUUGUGUGCAAUUCUUGGAUUUGUGUGUAAAGUUUUGAAAAAAAUGAAAAUGUGUAAGUAGUUGAAAAAAAAACUAUAAUAAUAAUAAUAAAAACAAAUCUGCUGGCUGCUGGACUGAUGAUCACUAAAAUAAAAAGCUUUUACUGAUCACUAAAUAAAACAUUUUUAAGGAGGAGGCAGUGUGUUGAAGGAAAUCUUGGAAUAUUAAAGACUGUGCUUCAAAAACUCCCAAAUGGGAGCAAAAGGCUUUGGGUAGUUGAUGUCAUACACAUAGAAAGGUUUGCAACACAGAUCCACAGCUUGUAGUAAGGUCUUCUGUUCCAUUGUCUCCCCGUUGAAAGUUCUUGGAAUUAGUACAGCAAUGCUGGUGUCAUCCCGUAGUGUAAAACUUUCUUCAUCCACUCCUUCCUCUGUGAUAAGAAGCAGCAGAAGAAACAUUUUACAGAUGAACUUGUAAACUAGUUGGAGCUGCUCAAUUAUAGCAGAAAUAUCAUGAACAAUUAUUUUAGUCAAUACUGAAAUCAUGAUUAUUUAGCAUGAUUAUUGGUAGGCGUUAUGACCAGCAUUAUAAAGUCUUUCAUGAAAUUAGUCAUUUUAAAUAAUCAGGGACGUUUCACAAUUAUCAAUACUUAAUCAAAAACUAGUUCUAGGUUAACUUGUGUGAGUAAAUUUUACCACGCUUACAUAUUUGACUGAUUUGGUUGUUAAGUUUGGACUUGUAAGGAGGAACAAAAGUACACCGCUGUGAACGAAAGGAAGCUGUGCUGGACGGAAUGCGGCAGCAACACACUAAUCAUUUCACCUCGUAUAUCUUUUUUCAUAAUUGUUGGAAGUCAUAAUUGAGAUUGAGAUUGUGAAUUGGUGGGUUUUUGUUAAAUGUGAGCCAAAAUCAUCACAAUUAAAAGAACCAAAGACUUAAACUACUUCAGUCUGUGUGCACUGAAUUUAUUUAAUACACAAGUUUCACAAUUUGAGUUGAAUUACUGAAAUAAAUGAACUUUUCCACGACAUUCUAAUUUAUUGAGAUGCACCUGUAUAGCCAGCUGAGCAAUGAUGUUCCUGCAAAAAAAAAAAAAAUCCAUCGGAGGGCAAAACAUGCCAGGAGAAAGAGCAGCUGAAGCCACAAUCAUAAGCUCCCAACAUCCCCUGGAAUGUUCUGGCAGACCUAGGAAACACGUAUUGCAAUAGACCCAGAAUACACUUCCCCACGUACAUUUGCAGUCACGCUCGAAGAUCAUUUCUCAGUGCUGUGCUGCCAAAUUCUCUAAAAGGUCUAAUGCCAGUUGCUGAGAUAAUUCAGAAUGUGAAUGCCUCGAAGCCUUAAAGGCAUCUGAGCUGAAUCUAUUCAUUUUGUAAAUGUGCAAAAUGUCAGAGACAGUCCGAUUGGAGGGAUGCAAAAUAUGCUUUGCUGCCUAAAGUAAAACUAGAAAUGAUUUUAAGAAAUCAUUUUAUCAUAGGAAAGGGGAAUCUGUGGUAACACUACCUUUAUGUGUAAUGCAUUAUAAAAGUAGGUUUAAUGUACUAAUUAUGCUUUGUAAUGCACCUUA